rnacentral:tRNA from 1 species
AUUUAAGUAGCUUAAAAUUAGAGCAUAACAUUGAAGAUGUUAAGGUAGUAUCUUAUACUCUUGAAUA